UACGGAGGAUCCAAGCGUUAUCCGGAAUCAUUGGGUUUAAAGGGUCCGUAGGCGGCUCUAUAAGUCAGUGGUGAAAUCUCACGGCUCAACCGUGAAAUGGCCAUUGAUACUGUAGGGCUUGAAUUACUGUGAAGUAACUAGAAUAUGUAGUGUAGCGGUGAAAUGCUUAGAUAUUAACAUGGAAUACAAAUUGCGAAGGCAGGUUACUAACAUUAUAUUGACGCUGAUGGACGAAAGCGUGGGUAGCGAACAGG
rnacentral:rRNA from 1 species